rnacentral:rRNA from 1 species
UGGCGGACGGGUGAGUAACGCGUGGGUAACCUGCCGUCUACUCUUGGACAGCCUUCUGAAAGGAAGAUUAAUACAAGAUGGCAUCAUGAGUUCACAUGUUCACAUGAUUAAAGGUAUUCCGGUAGACGAUGGGGAUGCGUUCCAUUAGAUAGUAGGCGGGGUAACGGCCCACCUAGUCUUCGAUGGAUAGGGGUUCUGAGAGGAAGGUCCCCCACAUUGGAACUGAGACACGGUCCAA